ACACCUAAUUAUCCCAGCCGCACACACCCGCCCCUCCGCUUCUGCGGCCGCCGUAGCUCGCCGAAAAUACACUUUUUCGGCCACGCGUUUUGGUCCCCCCUACUCCUCUCCCUUCCCUCAACGUGGCCUAACUAACUCUGAAACCGAAUAUUCCCCAUUCUCUCCUCACUCGAUCUCACGUGCUAUAUCUCUCUCUAACAAAUGAAGGAUUGAUGGAGGUCGUGGGAUUAAUGGAUAUUUAAUCCUCUUCGUUCAUCUGUCCCGAAUUAGUUGAUUUGAGAGAGGUUUUUGAUUUUCUUUUAAAAAAUAAUUUCGGAUUUUUUGGAGCAGAGGGAGAAGAUUCGAGAAGGCCAUAUAUAUUUGAGGAUUUGGAGACAGAAAUUGGAGAGAUUUUCGGAUAGAAAGAAAGUGAGGAAAAAGCAAGAAAGAAGAAAAAAAACGCACCUCUGGUUCUUGCUUCUGAUUUCGGAUUUGGAUCCAAAAAUAUGGAGUUCGAGGUGUCGUUCGUGAUCCCGUUUGAGUUUGAUUACUGUCUCGAGUUCCGGUGAUAGCGGUCCUUCGAUUCUAUCCGUGUAAUUGCUGGAAUUUUCGUUAAUUAAAACUAUUUCAGGUUCACCUUUUUUCCCUUUCUCUGUUAUUUGCGACGUUACUUUCAUAUGUUGUGAUUGAAAUAUGGUGCUGCCCUAUUCUCUUGGUUACUGUGAUUGUAGUCUCGAUUUAUGCUUAAGGAUAGAGCAAUUGGAAAUUGGAGUGUUUAGGUUAUAGCUUCA